UGGUAAUAACAUGAACAAUGCUCUCCGGCUGGAGAGAUGGCUCAGCUGUUAAAGGCUAGGCUCACAACCAAAAU
ensembl:miRNA